UGGUGGACAUAGAGGGGAGCAGCAUGCCAAGCAGACAUAUCUACUUUCCUGUCUACAAAUCCCAUGCUCUUUUCCCUAUAGGCACUACUGAGAUACAGAGUAAACUAUCAUUGUUUGAAAAAACUAGGAAGGAGACUUCAGUCUUAUUGAGAUAUGUAUUUCUGCAGGUUAGGCUGAAGCCUCUGCAUGUCCCGAUGCCUGAUGGAGAUGGAGGAAUCCUUUCUACCCAGACAGAAGUCACACUAUGUAGCCUGUCCUCUUUAGAACUGAAUCCGAUUGGGAUUUCUUCAUGGUCUCCACCCUGGAAAACCAGCUUGAAUUCUUGUAUGCGGGCCAGAUUCCAAGAGACAUCAUAAUUAGAUCCCAGAAGACUACAUGGCAGCUGAAGAGGAUGUCCCCUGUGGAAUAUAUGGAGGAAAGGCUGGCCAAAGCAAUGUUCACAUUCAUGCAAUUAUCCAGUUAAUUGCACAAGUCAAACCAAGACUUGUUCUAAAGCCACAAUAACAACGAAAUUGAUGCUUUCAUCUCCCAGAAAUAUGGCUGUGCUGUGAUCCAUGAAUUUUAAAUUAGAAGUAAAUCUAGAUCAAAACUUCUCGAAGUUGACUAGUUUCACAUGGAAGCUAGAAGACCAAAUACAGGACUAUACCCAUAAAGAAGAGUCACCUGGCAUGAGAAGGUGAAACUCAUGAUUACUCUACAAGUCUUCAACAUGUAGUUACCUUCCAUUAUUUAUUAAUAUUAUUCCCACCAAAAGAGAACUCUGAUCCAGUUAUUCAGUGUGCCGUACUGGCUUGGAAACAUUCAAUACUCCCCAUCACCACUACAAGCACUACAGAGAUCCAAAGAUUCUCACCCCUUCCAACAUCCUUAACCAAAAGACAUAUUCAGAAACAGGAAAUAACAAAAGUUUCAUACUCUCUCUUUUUUAUUGAGACCUCUGAAGACCUCCCACCCACCCUCACAAACACUCACACACCCAUGACUAGAAUUACAGUUGUUAUUUCAAUGGGAAGAAAUGACGCGGGGCAGGAAAUGAGAAUCUGUUAGAUGAGAAGAGCAGUCUUCUCAUCCUAAUAUUUGAGACAUUCCUCUUUCAUUUUCCUAUGACUCAUGCUUCUUUCUUUCUGGCAUCUUGUUGGAGGAGGAGGAGGAGGUGGGCAAACCCAGUGUUUUGACCAAAAAAAAAAAAAUCUUAAUACCAAAAGCAAUAGAAAAUUCCAAGAAAUGUAUGGAGAAAACAAGGGCUAUUGGUCUAAAAAUCUAUAGUUAGUACAAACUGACACUGGGUAACUGGGUAGCUUCAAGUAGUCUCAGUUAACAGAAUUCAUGUUUGUAUUGUAAAAAGGAAAGAUCUAGAAAAUCUGAUUUAAACUAAACAAUAAACUUCAAAAAUAAAAGCAAAUUUGUCUGUUUCUGAGAUAGGGUUUUGGAGAAUGAUGUUCUAACAUUUGUUUGUAAUGGAAAAAUAAGAACUAACUAGAUUUGUAAAUAUGCGCUGACCUGACAAAAAACUCUAAUGAAUGGCUUAUAACAGACAUGGAAAGUUAUGGUUGAGAAAAUUUUUUUCAAAAAGAACAUAA
ensembl:lncRNA LINC02160 long intergenic non-protein coding RNA 2160